rnacentral:misc_RNA from 1 species
UCCGGUUUAACACCGGCAGUCUUCUCAGAGUGCUCAACUUAAUGGUGGCAACUAAGAACAAGGGUUGCGCUCGUUGCGGGACUUAACCCAACAUCUUACGACACGAGCUGACGACAGCCAUGCAGCACCUAUCUCCCUGUCCCCGAAGGGAACCCUACAUCUCUGUAGGUGUCAGGGGAUGUUAAGCCCAGGUAAGGUUCUGCGCGUUGCUUCGAAUUAAACCACAUACUCCACCGCUUGUGCGGGCCCCCGUCAAUUCCUUUGAGUUUUAGUCUUGCGACCGUACUCCCCAGGCGGGAUACUUAAUGCGUGAGCUUCGGUACCCAGAGGGUUAACACUCCGGACACCUAGUAUCCAUAGUUUACGGCGUGGACUAC